GGCGUCGGCGGGUCGGCGAAGGCCGCCACUUUUUCUCUUCCAGGCUAUUCUGGGUUUCUGAGGCAGGCCGGCCCGGGUAUGGGCUCUCUGUCACCACUCAGCCUCCUGUGGGGACUCCUCCUGCUGCAGGGCGUCCUGAGGCCGCUGCGCGGCGACCCGGUUUUCAUCCCACCUUUCAUCCGGAUGUCCAGCCCUGAGGUCCGAGCGACCCUGGUCGGAGACAGCGGAUUGGAAUGUGACUGUGAGCCCCCGAGAGAGCACUCUGGAAGUGACCAUAAGGUGGAAGAGGGGUCUAGACUGGUGCUCCGCAGACGAGACAGCCUCAUUCUCAGAGCCCCCGUGCGUCCUGCAGACGCUGCUGGUUUCAGCCUCCCACAAUGCAUCCUGCUUAGCACAUCUGCUCAUCCAGGUGGAGAUUUAUCCCAACACAUCUGUAACCCACAACGCAUCAGAGAACAUGACUGUCAUUCCUAACCAAGUCUAUCAGCCCCUGGGUCCCUGCCCGUGUGACUUAACAGCCAAGGCCUGUGACAUUCAAUGCUGCUGUGACCAGGACUGUCAGCCAGAAGUAAGAGAGCUGUUUGCACAGUCCUGCUUCUCCGGCGUGUUUGGAGGGCACGUCAGCCCUCCGUCCCAUCAUCACUGUGCUGUCAGCACUACUCACCAGACUCCUGACUGGUUUCCCCUCCUGUGUGUGCAGUCGCCACCCUCUACCUCGCCGUUCCUUGGUCACUUCUACCACGGUGCCACUUCCCCCAGACAUUCCCCCGGCUUUGAAGCCCAUUUGCACUUCGACCUAAGAGACUUCGCCGAUGCCAGUUACAAGCAAGGAGAUCCCAUUAUGACCACGGAGGGGUAUUUUACCAUCCCCCAGGUGUCUCUAGCUGGGCAGUGUCUACAGGAUGCUCCUGUGGCUUUCCUGAGGAAUUUUGACAGUGUAUGUACCAUGGACCUGGAAGUGCACCAAGGACGAGAUGAAAUUGUCCUCGAGAACAUGAAAAUUCGCACAACAGGAGGUCCGGUCACACCAACAGUAACCUAUGAGGAAGCCAUUGACCUGGACAAGUUCAUCACCAGCCCGGACACAAUUUUAAGUGUCGGAUCGGCCCCCAGAAACGUGAAUGUGGAAGAACAUUAUGUCUUCAGAUGGCAAAAUAAUUCUAUCAGCGGCCUAGACAUCACAGUCAUCAGGGCAGAAAUCAGUGCCCAGCAGAGAGGAAUGAUGACCCAGAGAUUCACAGUGAAGUUUUUAAGCCAUCACAGUGGUGGUGAGAAGGAAUUUUCUGGAAAUCCAGGUUACCAGCUUGGCAAGCCGGUCCGAGCCCUGCAUACCGCUGGGAUGAACGUCAGCACACUGCACCUCUGGCAGCCAGCUGGAAGGGGCUUGUGCACAGCAGCCGCUCUCAGACCCAUUUUGUUUGGAGAAAAUGCCUUCUCUGGCUGCCUGCUGGAAGUUGGGAUUAAGGAGAACUGUACCCAGCUCAGGGAGAAUGUCCUUCAGAGACUGGAUUUGCUGACACAAGCAACGCACGUGGCGAGGAGAGGCAACUCGGACUACAGCGAUCUGAGUGACGGCUGGCUGGAGAUCAUACGUGCCGAAGCCCCUGAUACAGGUGCCGAUCUGCCCUCGAGCAGCGUGAAUGGCGUGUGCCCAGAAGUUCCAGCCCGGCUCUCCAUCCGCAUUCUCACUGCUGAAGCUGGCUCUGUGGAAGGGGUGGCUCAGCGCGAGAUCCUGGCUGUGGAGACAAGGUUUUCCACAGUGACCUGGCAGUACCAGUGUGGGCUCACUUGUGAGGACAAGGCCGACCUUCUCCCUCUCAGUGCCUCUGUUGAGUUCAUUAAUGUCCCUGCGCAGAUGCCCCACCCCCCUACGAGAUUCCAGAUCAACUUCACAGAGUACGACUGUACCCGGAAUGAGCUCUGUUGGCCCCAACUUCUGUACCCUCUGACCCAGUAUUAUCAAGGGGAGCCCCGGUCUCAGUGUGUGGCCAAAGGCCUGAUGCUGCUGUCACUCCUCAUACUGGCCAUCCUCCUCAGACACCCCUGGGUCAGGGUGUGCAAAGCCCGGGACUCAGCUGCCAUCUACCAUUAAGUUUCCUGGAAGACUCAGGGCUUCAGUGGAUACUCAGCGGCUCCCCAUCGGCCCUUGCGCCUCUCUGAAACCUGUCAGUUUGAGACAGGUCUCUCCACAUAUCCCUGGCUUGCUUCUAAGCUCACAGAGAUCUGCCUGUUUCUGCCUCUGGAGUGCUGGAUUAAAGGCAUGUUCCAUCAUGCCUGGACUCUCUGAAUCAUUUUAAUAAACAGAAUGUCUAUUUUUGUAGAAA
ensembl:processed_transcript